rnacentral:misc_RNA from 1 species
AACGCAUCUUGCGCUCCUUGGUAUUCUGAGGAGCAUGCCUGUUUGAGUGUCAUCAAGUUCUCAACCCCACAUCCUUUUUGAAGGGACGUGGAUUUGGAUUAUGGAGUUUGCAGGCUUGAUUUGAAAGGUCUGCUCCUCUGAAAUGUAUUAGUGGCAAUGUGGAAAAGCUACUGUGGGUGUGAUAACUAUCUAUGCCUAUGCAGUGCUCUGCUGUGCCGCUUUGGAGAGAGAAAUUUAUUUCUGACAAACUUGACCUCAAAUCAGGUAGGACUACCCGCUGAACUUAA